CUUCAUUUAGAGGAGGAGCUGGAAAUGAUGACGCGUGAAGCCUCUCUGCCUGGCUGUACCACGUGACAUUUAUACGUACACCUGCACGAGUAAUUUUUUCAAUUUCCACCACACGGACUUUCUCAGUGCUCUGAGGACCACCACCUGCCAAUGGCUUCAAACUUGGCAACCAGUCCUUUAGUGGCAGACUGGCCUCUCGCUGUCAGGAAAGGAAUUCUGCCCCUCCUCACCUUGGUGCUCCACCUUCCGGAUCACCCUCCUCUCACAAUAUCGACAUCCGUCAAGGGCACCAGCCCUGUACUCAACCCUGAAGACGUAUGGCACCAGCUCCUCCAGCCAGCAUACAAUCUGUCUUUCUGGCUCCUCAUCAAUCACUGGAGUGCAGAGUGAUCGGUCCGAACAGCAAAGGGCCACACAGACGGAAAAGAAGCACAGCUAUACAAGAGAAGCCACUCACAAACCGCCUGUUGUAGGGCGCUAGACCAAUGAAGCUCUUCAGCUCUCUCAGGUUGUUGGGGGUGGGCCAGUCCUUCACCACCUGCACUUUGUCUUCCAAGGUGCUGACCCCUUCUCCCCCAAUCCUGUGCCCCAGAAACUCCAGUUUCGUCCUCAUGAAACAGCAAUUAUCCAGGUGAAGCCUCUGUAGAACACCCUCUCCAUCACAUGUUCAAAUGUGGCUGGUGCAUUGCAUAGGCCGAAGCAGAGGACACAGAACUGCUACAACCCUCUGCCUUCACAGAAAGCAGUCUUUAGCCUGACCUCAGGGCUGAGGGGCACCUGCCAAUAUCCACUGCUUAGAUCUAAUGAGGGAACCAAGAGGAGCCUGCUACCAGGUCCAGAGACACAUCUAUGCGGGGCAGUGGAUAUGAGUCUUGUUUGUCACACUGUUCAGUGGUCUGUAGUCGACACAAAGCCUCGUCUUCGCACUUUUCUUCUUGUUAACCAUCACAACCUCGAGGCCCAUGUCCUCUUCUGUCAGUGCAAAAAUGUCUUUAAACUCCCACAGCACUUACCACAGCUUGUCUUUUUUGUGGGUUCUAAGUCAAUGCAGCUGCGUUCCCAUAUUGCUUUCACUGCUGCCAGUCUGUCCACACCUAGUUUGGCGGUCUGUUGCUCUCACAAUGGGAUGGGAUGGGAUAGGGUUUAGUUAGGGGAGGGUGCUUGUAGUGCAGGCUUUGGUUGAAGAGGUGCUCCCAAAAAUCUGGACGUUGGCACGUGUGAAUUCGAGACCUGUGUGGGGUGCACCAUUUGAAUAGGAUGCUUUUAUUGGUCCCACAGCGGGGAGAUUUCAGCAGCAGCCAGCUUGACCGGCACCGAAUCCAACAGUGAAAGCAAGUUGCAUUACAAAACAGCCUGUUUUCAACCAGUGGAGCCUGUGUCAACCAGAGCAAUGCAAGGAGCCCCUACCAGGGUGAUGGGGAGCAAAAACCACCCAUGUGCGUCCAGUCCACCACUCUCACAGUCUCCGUGACGUCGUCUACUUCUGGGCAUGACUCCCCUAGCUUGACUGUUUGCCUCCAUCCACAAACAGUAAUGCAGGGUGGGACACGGGAAGAGGGGCCUGCGUCGUCCCAUCUACCCAGACCCAGGUGCAUUUCCCUGCCCACCAGCUUGCUUUGGGCACCUUACGCUGACGUGACCAGCCUGGCCCAGCACACCAGAGGCACACAGCGGGCAAGUGUCACCACAUGGAGGCUGCAGUGACACUGCUCAUACCAGUUCAGGCCCCACCUGUGUUACACCUCUCGCGACGUGGCUGCUUCUAGUGUGAUUGUUUGCAGCAGCUGCUCCCACAGUCUCCCUCUCCGAAGCCACCUCAAGAGCCUCAUGCAGGGUACAUGGGUGUGCCAACUGCGUCUGAAUCUGCAGCUCAUUGGGCAAUAUGGCCCAGAUGAACUGGUCCCUGGCCAGCUCACUCUGUACUUCAUUCAGCAUGUGGGCAUAUGCUCCUCUAGUCAGGGUUUCGAUGUCAUUGGCUAUUGGCCGCAGUGGCUCCCCAGCGCGUCUCAGCAGCUGCCUGUUAGCCAGGUCUGAGUGCACAACACCGGGUCCAUUGUUUAAAACGUCGCUGAAGAGCCCUGACCAGAGCCCCACAGAACCCCUCUUUCAGCUGGGCUAAUGAGCAGCAAACACGAUAAAGCUCCGCCUGUGAGGCACAUGGCCAGCUGAGUGCUUUAAUGUCCUCUGGCCAGCCAACAAAACAAGCUAACAGUUCAAAUAUAUAAAUACAUGUUUUGCUGUUUUUCAUACUUUACUAUACUUUAUUUUGCUGACAGUUUAAUUCACAGGCUGUCUGCAAAAUGCCACACACUUCAAAUUCAUGCCAACUGAUAUUGUUUUUGUAAAGCUUCAAGAAGCUUUGCUCUGGAGUGAGACAAUUUGAUGAAAGGCUUAAAUGAUUCAUAAAGCUUCUGUUGGAAAAAUACUGCAUUUAAUCAUUGAAACAUACUUUGCUGAAGCCUCGUUAGCUGUGCUUUGCCCUUGAAGUUUUCUCCCUUCUGCUCUGCUAGAAAUAGGGAGUACCGGUGUGUAGCAUCCUUAUCUGAUGAGCCCAAUGCUUUGUGUGGAAAAUAUUUCCCACGUACUGUGUGACUAUGCACCUCCCAGAAUGCAAUACAUAUUAUGAGCUGAAUCCUUGUCUUCUCUUCAGUGAAAGGAAGUUGCCUUUGCUGUAAACUGCUCACUCCUUGCAAGUAAAAUCCUGAAGAAGGUCUCAACUGAUUGUGUCUGCUUUAUUUAAGAUUUACAAAGGGAACUUACAAUUUCCCUAACAGCUUCAUCUGCCCAUCACCAGGACGCACAACACCCUUCAUUACUCUA